GCUGGGUGUGGUGGCGCACGCCUGUAAUCCCAGCAGCUGGGGAGGCUGAGGCAGGAGGGAAAUGAAUUUGAAGCUGGUCUCAGCAAAAGCGAGGUGCUAAGCAACUCAAUGAGACCCUGUCUCUA
rnacentral:sRNA from 1 species